rnacentral:rRNA from 1 species
CCUACGGGAGGCAGCAGUAGGGAAUCUUCCGCAAUGGACGAAAGUCUGACGGAGCAACGCCGCGUGAACGAUGAAGGCCUUCGGGUCGUAAAGUUCUGUUGUUAGGGAAGAACAAGUGCUAGUUGAAUAAGCUGGCACCUUGACGGUACCUAACCAGAAAGCCACGGCUAACUACGUGCCAGCAGCCGCGGUAAUACGUAGGUGGCAAGCGUUGUCCGGAAUUAUUGGGCGUAAAGCGCGCGCAGGCGGUUUCUUAAGUCUGAUGUGAAAGCCCCCGGCUCAACCGGGGAGGGUCAUUGGAAACUGGGAAACUUGAGUGCAGAAGAGGAAAGUGGAAUUCCAAGUGUAGCGGUGAAAUGCGUAGAGAUUUGGAGGAACACCAGUGGCGAAGGCGACUUUCUGGUCUGUAACUGACGCUGAGGCGCGAAAGCGUGGGGAGCAAACAGGAUUAGAUACCCUGGUAGUCCACGCUGUAAACGAUGAGUGCUAAAGUGUUAAGAGGGUUUUCCGCCCUUUUAGUGCUGAAAGUUUAACCGCAUUAAGCACUUCCGCCUGGGGGAUACCGGUCGCAAAGACUUGAAAACCUUAANAAGUUAUUAGUACGGACGNGUAGAGAGCGACGACGACGACGAGGAGGAGGAG